rnacentral:rRNA from 1 species
UGCGUAGGUGGUCGGGUAAGUUUGAUGUGAAAUCUCCGGGCUCAACCCGGAAACUGCAUUGAAUACUAUUCGGCUGGAGGGUUGGAGGGGGGACUGGAAUUCUCGGUGUAGCAGUGAAAUGCGUAGAUAUCGAGAGGAACACCAGUGGCGAAGGCGAGUCCCUGGACAACUCCUGACACUAAGGCACGAAAGCUAGGGGAAGCAAACAG